CUCCGCGCCGCCGUCUUCGUUGCUCUUGGGUGGCCGCGGCGCCCGCUCCCUCUGAAUUCGCCGGGCAGGGAUACAGCCGCCCGGGGCCUCUUGCUCGUGCUUGGUUUUCCGGACCUUGCUUCCUAAAGGGUCUUUAGGGGUUCCCGGACUCCUCCGCCUGGGAGCCUCUAUCCGCCUGGGAGCCUCUAUGCGCCCCGCAAAGCCCCCGGCAGAGCCGAGGGGAGGCUUCAUUGGCGACCUGGUGGGGCCUCGCGGCCCUGCUCCCUGACGUCAGCGCCGCCGCGGUGAUUUAACAGCUUUUGUUUUGGGCAGAAGAACCUAUGGGCACAAAAAGCAGGAACGAGUAGCGGUGGCUGAAGAACGAGCAGGAGCUUGAAUUUCAGUUUUCUUAUGAGGAAUUUUCCAGAAAAGAUAUCUUCACUGUGAAAUAACUAAAUAAAUGCCCACUCAGUACAGUCACUGUCUCCCUUUUGGAACUUGAUGGCACCUUAAGCCCAGGUUUGCCUCCACUCUAGAAACUCAUCAGAGUGAUGCCCUUCUCAAAUGGGGGAGGUCCCAAAGCGGAUAUCCUGGCAGUGUGAAAGGCCGGCUAAAGCUUUCCCUGCACUCCAAACACAGAGCUGAGACUUCCACCUAAUGUAGAAAGCUAGCACGAGCCGGCGCUGACAGAUGGAAGACUUGAGAUGUUACAAGAUUAUAUAUGGAAACACAAAAGGAGUGGAGUUGCUGGGUCAUAUGGCAAUUCAUUUGAGGAACUGAGAAGCUUAUUCCAUGGAGGCUGAACUGUUUUAUAUUCCCACCAGCAACGUGUAAGGUUCCAGUUUAUCUACAUCAUCACCAACACUUGCUAUUUUCCAUUUCAUUAAUGAUAGCCAUCCUAGUGGAUUUGAAGUGGUACCUUAUUAUCGUGGUUUUGAUUGCAUUCUCUAUUGACUAAUGAUAUCGAGCAUCUUUUCAUGUAUUUUUUGGUCAUUUGGUCAUUUUUCUUUUUUAAUUUUAAAAUUUUGAGACAGGCUCUCACUAUGUUGCCCAGGUGGUCUCAAACUCCUGGGUUCCAGCGAUGCUCAUGCCUCAGUCUCCCAAAGGGGUGGGAUUACAGGUGUGAGCCACUUUGCCCAGCCCAUUUGUAUAUCUCCUUUGGAGAAUAUCUAGGUUCUUUUGAAGGUAGCUGCAUAUAAACUAGCCAAAUUAACAGACUGUGGUUUUUAGAUGGCUUUCCAUAUCUACAAGAACUAUUUAGUUCUCAAAACUGGGAAGAAAUGUUUCAGAGGCAUCAUUAAUUCAUAAUCUAAAAAUUUAUCUUGGGUUUCCUUUUUUCCCCCAGAUUCUGUAUCCUCCAUAGUCCUAUUCAUGACAUGGGUCGUUCAUCUCUGUAUUCUAAACCCUCAAUGAACUGUAGACAGUAAUAAAUAUUUAUUGGAUGAAAAAAAAAAAAAAAAAA
rnacentral:lncRNA from 1 species